AUUGAAGAGCGCAAUGAUGCCGGACCUGUUCCAUGGAUUCCGAUCUGGCUCCACUGGCCCCUGUUUGCGUUCCCCUACUUUGCAAACGACUGGAGUGCCCGUUUUGUCGGUAUGCAGGUGUGCAUCACUUCUCUAAUUCUUGCUGUGAUCAAGCUCGCCCAGG
rnacentral:ribozyme from 1 species